rnacentral:tRNA from 1 species
GCCUGGGUGGCUCAGUCGGUUGAGCGUCUGACUUCGGCUCAGGUCAUGAUCUUGUGGUUCUUGGGUUUGGGCCCCGACUCGGGCU